AACUCCAAUAGCGUAUAUUAAAGUUGUUGUAGUUAAAAAGCUUGUAGUUGGAUUUCUGGUGGGAGGGAUCGGUCCAGCACUCAGUGUUGGAACUUGUAUCCUCUCCGGCCAUCCUUGGCUUGUCUGGCAUUAAGUUGUCAGUCAGGGGAUGCCCAUUUUUUACUGUGAAAAAAUUAAAGUGUUCAAAGCAGGCAUAUGCCAUUGAAUAUAUUAGUAUAGAAUAAUAAGAUAGGGCCCUGGUGCUAUUUUUUGAUGGUUUGGGUACCGAAGUAAUAAUUAAUAGGGACAGUUGGGGGUAUUUGUAUUCAGUAUUCAGCGGUGAAAUACUUAGAGCUACGGAAGACAAACUACUGCAAAAGCAUUUACCAAGGAUGUUUUCA
rnacentral:rRNA from 1 species